UACGGAGGGUGCAAACGUUGCUCGGAAUCAUUGGGCGUAAAGCGCACGUAGGCGGUUCGUUAUGUCGGAUGUGAAAUCCCUCGGCUCAACCGAGGAAGGGCAUCCGAAACUGGCGUGCUUGAGUAUGGAAGAGGGUCUCGGAAUUCCCGGUGUAGCGGUGAAAUGCGUAGAUAUCUGGAGGAACACCGGUGGCGAAGGCGGCAUCCUGGACCAACACUGACACUGAGGAGCGAAAGCCAGGGGAGCAAACGGG
rnacentral:rRNA from 1 species